rnacentral:rRNA from 1 species
GAUGAACGCUAGCGGCAGGCUUAAUACAUGCAAGUCGUGGGGCAGCAUGAUGUAGCAAUACAUUGAUGGCGACCGACAAACGGGUGCGGAACACGUACACAACCUUCCUUUUAGUGGGGAAUAGCCCAGAGAAAUUUGGAUUAAUACCCCAUAACAUAUAGAGAUGGCAUCAUCUUAAUAUUAAAGCUUCGGCGCUAGAAGAUGGGUGUGCGGCUGAUUAGGUAGUUGGCGGGGUAACGGCCCACCAAGCCUACGAUCAGUAGCUGAUGUGAGAGCAUGAUCAGCCACACGGGCACUGGGACACGGGCCCGACUCCUACGGGAUGCAGCAGUAAGGAAUAUUGGACAAGGGACGAAAGUCUGAUCCAGCCAUGCCGCGUGAAGGAUUAAGGUCCUCUGGAUUGUAAACUUCUUUUAUUUGGGACGAAAAAAGAUCAUUCUUGAUCACUUGACGGUACCAGAUGAAUAAGCACCGGCUAACUCCGUGCCAGCCGCCGCCGUAACAC